rnacentral:rRNA from 2 species
GACGAACGCUGGCGGCGUGCCUAAUACAUGCAAGUCGAACGAACUCUGGUAUUGAUUGGUGCUUGCAUCAUGAUUUACAUUUGAGUGAGUGGCGAACUGGUGAGUAACACGUGGGAAACCUGCCCAGAAGCGGGGGAUAACACCUGGAAACAGAUGCUAAUACCGCAUAACAACUUGGACCGCAUGGUCCGAGYUUGAAAGAUGGCUUCGGCUAUCACUUUUGGAUGGUCCCGCGGCGUAUUAGCUAGAUGGUGGGGUAACGGCUCACCAUGGCAAUGAUACGUAGCCGACCUGAGAGGGUAAUCGGCCACAUUGGGACUGAGACACGGCCCAAACUCCUACGGGAGGCAGCAGUAGGGAAUCUUCCACAAUGGACGAAAGUCUGAUGGAGCAACGCCGCGUGAGUGAAGAAGGGUUUCGGCUCGUAAAACUCUGUUGUUAAAGAAGAACAUAUCUGAGAGUAACUGUUCAGGUAUUGACGGUAUUUAACCAGAAAGCCACGGCUAACUACGUGCCAGCAGCCGCGGUAAUACGUAGGUGGCAAGCGUUGUCCGGAUUUAUUGGGCGUAAAGCGAGCGCAGGCGGUUUUUUAAGUCUGAUGUGAAAGCCUUCGGCUCAACCGAAGAAGUGCAUCGGAAACUGGGAAACUUGAGUGCAGAAGAGGACAGUGGAACUCCAUGUGUAGCGGUGAAAUGCGUAGAUAUAUGGAAGAACACCAGUGGCGAAGGCGGCUGUCUGGUCUGUAACUGACGCUGAGGCUCGAAAGUAUGGGUAGCAAACAGGAUUAGAUACCCUGGUAGUCCAUACCGUAAACGAUGAAUGCUAAGUGUUGGAGGGUUUCCGCCCUUCAGUGCUGCAGCUAACGCAUUAAGCAUUCCGCCUGGGGAGUACGGCCGCAAGGCUGAAACUCAAAGGAAUUGACGGGGGCCCGCACAAGCGGUGGAGCAUGUGGUUUAAUUCGAAGCUACGCGAAGAACCUUACCAGGUCUUGACAUACUAUGCAAAUCUAAGAGAUUAGACGUUCCCUUCGGGGACAUGGAUACAGGUGGUGCAUGGUUGUCGUCAGCUCGUGUCGUGAGAUGUUGGGUUAAGUCCCGCAACGAGCGCAACCCUUAUUAUCAGUUGCCAGCAUUAAGUUGGGCACUCUGGUGAGACUGCCGGUGACAAACCGGAGGAAGGUGGGGAUGACGUCAAAUCAUCAUGCCCCUUAUGACCUGGGCUACACACGUGCUACAAUGGAUGGUACAACGAGUUGCGAACUCGCGAGAGUAAGCUAAUCUCUUAAAGCCAUUCUCAGUUCGGAUUGUAGGCUGCAACUCGCCUACAUGAAGUCGGAAUCGCUAGUAAUCGCGGAUCAGCAUGCCGCGGUGAAUACGUUCCCGGGCCUUGUACACACCGCCCGUCACACCAUGAGAGUUUGUAACACCCAAAGUCGGUGGGGUAACCUUUUAGGAACCAGCCGCCU